UGUAAAUUGACUUUUUCUUUUUCUUUUUUUUUUUUUUGAGACAGUUUCACUCUUGUUGUCCAGGCUGGAGUGCAAUGGUGCGGUCUCAGCUCACUGCAACCUCCUCCUCACGGGUUCAAGCAAUUCUCCUGCCUCAGCUUCCCAAGUAUCUGGGACUACAGGGUUUUUACCUUAAAUAACUAAUUACUGGCCAUAUUUGGGAAGUGUUGAAAAAAAGCAGACAAUCUGAGGAUGAUGUUGACUUGGGGAUCCAAAGGCACAG
rnacentral:lncRNA from 1 species